AGGGCAAGUCUGGUGCCAGCAGCCGCGGUAAUUCCAGCUCCAAUAGCGUAUAUUAAAGUUGUUGCAGUUAAAAAGCUCGUAGUUGAAUUUCGGGGUUAGUAGGUUGGUCAUGCCACUGGUAUGUACUGAUCUUACUGAUUCCUCCUUCCUGAUGAACCGUAAUGCCAUUAAUUUGGUGUUGCGGGGAGACUGGACUGUUACUUUGAAAAAAUUAGAGUGUUUAAAGCAGGCUAACGCUUGAAUACAUUAGCAUGGAAUAAUGAAAUAGGACGUUCGAUCCUAUUUUGUUGGUUUCUAGGAUUGACGUAAUGAUUAAUAGGGAUAGUUGGGGGCAUUAGUAUUCAAUUGUCAGAGGUGAAAUUCUUGGAUUUAUUGAAGACUAACUACUGCGAAAGCAUUUGCCAAGGAUGUUUUCAUUAAUCAAGAACGAAAGUUAGGGGAUCGAAGACGAUCAGAUACCGUCGUAGUCUUAACCAUAAACUAUGCCGACUAGGGAUCGGAUGAUGAUAAUUUUUUAAUGACUCAUUCGGCGCCUUACGGGAA
rnacentral:rRNA from 1 species